GUGGGGAAUAUUGGACAAUGGGCGAAAGCCUGAUCCAGCCAUGCCGCGUGUGUGAAGAAGGUCUUCGGAUUGUAAAGCACUUUAAGUUGGGAGGAAGGGCAGUAAGUUAAUACCUUGCUGUUUUGACGUUACCAACAGAAUAAGCACCGGCUAACUUCGUGCCAGCAGCCGCGGUAAUACGAAGGGUGCAAGCGUUAAUCGGAAUUACUGGGCGUAAAGCGCGCGUAGGUGGUUCAGCAAGUUGGAGGUGAAAUCCCCGGGCUCAACCUGGGAACUGCCUCCAAAACUACUGAGCUAGAGUACGGUAGAGGGUAGUGGAAUUUCCUGUGUAGCGGUGAAAUGCGUAGAUAUAGGAAGGAACACCAGUGGCGAAGGCGACUACCUGGACUGAUACUGACACUGAGGUGCGAAAGCGUGGGGAGCAAACAGGAUUAGAAACCCGGGUAGUUC
rnacentral:rRNA from 1 species